UAGCUAGCUAGCUGACCCUCUGGGUUUACAUACAGGCUCUGUGCAGUGCUGAGUACUAUUCGUGAUGUUCAUAAUGCAUGCUUCCUAAAUUAUACAUCAUUAUGAGGAGCACAUAGCCAAUUAGUAUAUGGAUUUGUUCUGCUUGUGCAAAUCUUUUCUUGGGCUGAGGAAGUGUCAUACAGAGACUUGGCUGAAGAAAAAAAGAAAAUAGUUUAAUCUUAAAAGGUAAUUGUCAUCCUCUAGCUAAUGAUAAGCAAUAUUACUGCCUGCAUAUCAGCUGUAAUUAAGCGGUAAGACACAACAAGGUGUAUGUUACAUAGAGAUAACACAGUGUUUAGGAGCCAGUGACCUGCAAAGCACAUUAUCUCCCAGCUGCACAAGCCCCACAGCCCGUGUGUACAUCUGUGCUAGCAAAUCCACUGUCCUCUCUUUCCCUGCCUUCGCUCUGCUUUUCAAGGUGCAAAAAACUGGGAAGGAUAUUCAUAUUUCUUGUUGUGUCUCAGGAUGUUUUUUUAAAAAGCUCUUUUUACAUUCAUAUAUAUGUGUAUAUAUAUAUAUAUAUAUAUAUAUUAGUCAACUUCUGUACAUGUAACAAGCCAGUGUGAAACAUUACAAGGAGGCAUUCAGUGGAGUUCUGGGAAAUCGUAUCACUUAAAAUGGGGCCCAUCAGCGCUUUGUGAGACACGUAGGUGUGCAGUGUGCAGGGAAGGAUUCUCACUGAUGAUGCAAGUACCAGACUGACAGUAACUCUUAAUUUUCUCCAAGAAAGAUUUCAUGUUGUUCUCAAAGAUAGAAGAGGGAGCUUUCAGCUGGAACAUCGUGUUAGAUGAAUCUUGUUUCAAAGUAGCAUUGAUUUUUGGUUAGAAUUAAGGACUGGAAGUGUGAAGCUUGUACUGUUUGUACUUAACGUGAAAAUCUUUCCUAUCAAGAUGCCAUUUCCAUGUAAAUGUCCUCUAUAGACUGACUAAACUAUGAUCCUGCAUGAACGACUGAAUUAAAACCAGGGCUGACAGUGUGGUGUAAGCACUGAUAAAAAGCACACCGAGAAAGGGAGUGAGAACAUCUGAGUCCUGUUAGUUUGAGGAGGAAAACACACAGCUUCUGUUUUGUAGCAUAGGAACCCUUAGUGUAGAACUAGAAGGAACCCUAGUGAGUGAUAGCUCCCAAACAGCCACAGAAAACAGAAGGUGAGCUGGAAUGACAUCACUUUUGUCCUGCUAAGUGGGAUGAGUCUGCUAAAGGAAAGGGGAGGGGAUGGUACCAUUUCAUACAGCCUUCACCUCUGGGGAGGGCCACAUGCACAUCUCUGCUAGGCUUCAUUGGCGUAUUCAUGGUGCAGGAUGAAUGCGUAUUUGUGAGCACGUGAGGUUUCAUUUUGGAACAAAUGGAUAUACAUUAUGAGAUUUCCUCCUUAUAUUUUUCAUACUAAAUUGUGCUAGGCAGAAAAGUUUGUUGAUCCAGAAAAAUGGCAGGACAGUUGUCUUGUUGCUGAAGCCAUCCUGUACAUUGUCAGAUGCAGAGAAAGGUUCUUUGGACUUAAAUAGCCCUCAGCCUGUCUGGACGCUGGUUUCAAUUGGACAUCCUAGGUAUUACUGUAAUAAAAAUGUAAAUAAAGGAAGUUAGGCUUGAUGUAAGAGCAGAGAGACAAAGCAGAGGCAAUAGGAACAGCUGUCUGUUCCUCAGAGCCCUUCUACUGGGUGAGACUGUUUCUGAUUACAGCUGUAGCACUGUAAAUGCCUGCUAGAUGUCUGGUGAUAAUCCAUUCAAAGCAAUUACAAGGCAUCCGUCACCAGCAGGGUCUGAGCCACAGGCCGCUUAUCUGGGAAAAUUGAUGGAAGAGAAAGAGGCAGUGAGGGAAGAAAUCAAUGCCUUUCACCAAUGUUAUCUGCCAAAUUGAAUUAAGCAGCGUGGGAUCCCAGCUUUAUACACUGUGAGAAGUCAGAACUUAAAGAGUCUGCUUAUAGCGAGCUCGGCUGUGGGCAAGGCAGGUGAGGGAUGGACACUUGUACUGACCUGCAGUUCCAUCCAUGCCUCCUGCUAACAUCAGCAGCUCUUGUAUGUGCAGAAGGAGUCCAGAACUUAACUUACAGAACAUUUAACCUAAUGGCACCGCUUCCAGAUGUGAACUUUGUUCUUGUCUUCUUGAGGUCAUAACAUACCAUUCCCAGUUCUAUUCUAAUGGAGUGUAGAGAAAGCAACUACGAUGAUGCAAGCAGAGAUACAAUAACUGCAUGCUUACAAGCAGUAGUAGUGAAACUAUUGCUUAACAAUGAUCUGUUUAUUGAACCUUCUGGCAGUGCACUCAUGGUACAGAGAAGGUAAUCCAGGACUGAGAGCUGUAGAAAGCCAUCAAGUCAGGAGUUCAUGGGCAGGGGCACACUCUACAGAUGGUGGGAUUUUUUAGUUGUUUUUUUAGCCCAAGGAGCUGGGAGGGAGCAGGAUUAGAAUGGCUGACUGAAAGUGGCCCAAGGGAUGUUCCAUAGCGUCUGAUAUGUGGAAGGAGCUUUGGAGAGGGUGGGACUUCAUCUCUUCUGCUGCUCAGGGGUAGCUGGGCAUCAGCUGUGGGGUGCUGAGCAAGUGCUUGUGCAUCACUUGUUAUAUGCAUUCACGUCUGUCUAUCGAUAUAGUCGUAAUUGUUAUCCUUUUCCUUUUCUCGAUCUUAGUAAAUAUUUUAUCUCAAUCCAGGAGUUCUACAUUUAUUUAUUUAUUUUUUAGUUAUUCUUUCCCCCAUCCCACUGGGAAGAGGGACAGUGAGCGAACGACUGCGUGCAGCUCAGCCACCUGCCAGCUUAAUCCACAGCAGAUGUUUACAGAACACCCACGUAUCCACCCUCCCUCCAAAGGACGUGAGCGCAGAACGGCGGAGGAGGCGAACGAAUCACACAGAGCUACAACAGACUGAUCCAACAGCCCCAGAGGGAACCUGCUGAGGAAGCAGAGCCCGUGCUCAGCCCUCACCUCUUCCACACCUCUGCUCCAUCACAAGGCGCAGAGCACAUCCCCAGCCUGCAGGUCUCCGGGUGGGUCUGGUGUUCUGUUAGCACUGCUGCUGCCCAGGAACGUCUGUUUAAUCUGCUGGGUCUAAGAGGCUCAAGGAGAGCGUUUGGUGUUGGUGCUGUCACCUCUGCUGCUGCUGUAGGUAAAUAUACAUGUCACCUGGGAAAUUAACUCAAGGGAAAUAACAAUCUAAAGAAGUUACGUGUGUGCAUUUGCAUAGCAGGGUUUCUGUCUAAUGUAGUGUUUUAAUUAAACUGCUUUGAUAAGUCCUGACUUCUCAGACAGAGAUCCCUCACACUUUUCCAUACACGUCUCAGGUCUCUGACAUCUGCCUGGCCUGAACAAUGAGGGCCCAGCUGCAAGCAGAGAAAACUCAAAAACCAUUGCAUAUCUAUUUAUUUUUUUCUGGACAAACAAUUUUAUUUUAGGUAAUGCGUCUAUACACUGUACAUUCAGUCACUGUGGUAUAUAAGCAUAGCUAUUUUCAUACAUAAUCUCAUAAAGUCCUUUAUUUUACAAUAUUAUCUGCUUCAAGGGGAGGGGAUGUGGAAAAGGGGGUGGAAAAGGACUAUCAAGGUACACAGCGAAAUAGAUAAAUAUGCCAAGCUUUUUUCUUAUUUUUUUUUAAAUCAGGCAUUUAUAAACAAGAAAGCAUACAUUACUUACAUAAAAAUAGUUCUAGAAUAGUAGAGUAAGUCAUAAUAUUGUCAUUAGCAGCAGCAUAGGAGAGACCAGGAUAACAAAAAUGUGCUGAAAUGCUAUUGGCUAUUAUAAAUGUAUAGAUUUAUUUUUCUUCAAUUGAAAAAAUGUCAUUUCUGUGAUUUCUUUCAUUAAAAAAAAAAGAAAGAAAGAAAAAAAAACCAAUAACAAACAAAAAAACCAAAGCAACAGAAACCUCUUAAAACAUCUGGGCUGAUUCUGAGGAGAGGGCAGAACGGAAAGAAAAAUCAACCUUUUGGUAAUAAAAUACUUUACAGUGAAAAUACGGACAAAUAAAAUGCAAAUGAUGGAGAGAGGUUAACCCACAUUGAAACUUGCAAAAAGAUUUUUUUUGUUUUGUUUUGUUUUUCCUAACAGACAGCAAAGGUUCUUCUCAGUUAAAAACACAACUCAUAAAACAAGACAGCUACCAGGUAAGAAAGAGUUUUGAAAAAGUAAACACCAUAUACACUUAUAAUACAACAGUGUAAAAUGAAAAAAAGUAUUUACAUGUUGAAUUUACUGUUAAGUAUUUUUUACAUUGGCUAGUUCUGUUUGAAAAGCAGAAUAUUAUGUUAUACUAUUAGCUGCUCCAAAGAUAUGAAUGUUAUUGCUGUUGGUUUUUUUUUUCCCUUCGUUAAGUCUUCUUUCACUAAUAGAAACAAUGAGUAAUUAAACUGAAUAUACAAGUAAUAUAUUUUUAAUUACAGGGAGAGUCAACAGCCUCUGUGAAACACCUCUUCUCCCUUUUAACUUGGAAAAGGAAACUAAAGAGCAGAUGAAGUGAGAAGAUGGCCUUUACAAUUCCUACACUCGCGGGCCGGAGUGCAAACGGAGCGCAGCGCGGACUGAGCGGUGAGUGAGAGCUGCCCACUGCAGGGCAGCAGACACAGAAAUUACACACAGAACCCCCUCACCUCAACACCUCCAGCAUUGCUUCCCCUGAAGGUUCCCACCACGUUGAGAGGCAUUUUCUAGAAAGUGUCUCUAUGGCUUGAUACUGACAGAAUUGUUGUAAAAAUAAGUUACAUACACAGGAAUUCUGAAUUAAAAAAUAAUUAUUUCUGCAGAAUGUAUCAAGAUUUUAUUGUAAAAGUGUACUUAGGAAAGACACACAACAAUUUACGAUUCCUAUCCUGUAAAAACUCCCCUGUCAAUUAACUGCUGGUGGAAAGGGGUUGCUGUCAGCCUUUGUGCACCUUAUUCAAUCACACUGAUUUGUAAACCUGAUUUUACAGACAUUUUUUACUAGGAUGUUUCCAUUCCCUAGAAUCAAACACUUGUAAGUCUUAACUUCAAAUGCAGUGAUUUAGUCAUGUAUUACACUUUAUUAUAAUACAUGGCAAAAGAAGAAACCGUGCUUUUCUAACAAUAGUACAUAAUUCAUAUUGUAAUUCAUUUUAGAAAGAUCUCUUGCAAAUCUCAUCCGAUCUAUGUGAGAAACAAGGAUGAUUAUAGUGGUUUGACAGCAAAGAAAAAUGUUCCUUAUUAAUUUUUUUUCUUUGGGGGAAAAAAAAAAAAGCAGAAUUCAUUGAUGUUGGAGGGUAAAAGCAUCACACGCACAGAAGUUGUGGCAGUGAAUCACUAUCCUUCCUGAGACACACGAAAUAAAUAGUGCCAUGUGCUACAGGUCAGUGGGCGCUGCUCCUGGAAGGAAAAGCAAAGUGAGAGGGCUGUGCUGCCCAUGUGUGGGUGAGUCAUAGUGGGAGGAAAACAACAAUAUCUAAAAAGCAGAUUUCAGGAAUCUGAUAUUGGGGUGAGAACAGAUGUGUUCUAUGUGUAAUUUCUUAACAUGGCAGCAAAACGUAGCAAAUGGGAGACUUCUGAAAUGCACAAUGAUCAGCUAAAGCUAAAAUCGUUCAGUUUCCCUUGAAGAAAUCAGUGAAUAAUACAGAUCUGGAAAUCAUAAGGCUGAGAACAUUUUUUUUAUGCAUACUGCAUAACAAAAUAAACCCUUUACAUAAGACAGUAAUAAUGCCCAUUAAUGAAUAUACAUAUGGCAGAGAUUUUAAUUCCAUGCAUAUGAUUUAAUAAUCGCAGAAAAAAAAAAAAAAACAUACAAAGAAGCAAAAAAAAAAAAAAAUCCCACAUAAAAAAAACCCCAACAACAUUGCCUAAGCAUAAUCAAAAAUCCUUUUGCAUUGCACUUUAGAGGAGGAGUUCUGCAUCCAGCCUCGGGCUCCAGCAUCCCACGCGCAGGGCCAAGGCCUGCACAACCAGACAGGUUCGUGUCAUUUAUUUGCUGUCACUGUUUCUUGCUCCCAACAGUUCUACAUUGUCCCAGUAAUUCUACUCCUUUCUUAUUUCUUCUUUUUGUACCUAAAACGUAUAUAUGAACUUCUCUGUUAAUGCUCACAGUUACUAUAAUGGUUAUUAUAAUGGUUUCAAGCAAACAGCUCUUGUUUAAAAAAAAAUAAAAAACAAAAAAACCCCUCUAAUGUACUGUAAGUAAAUACUGUAAUUUUAGGAUUGGAAGCCGCUUUCUGUCUACAGGGAAAUAAUUUUUAAGCUUACAUAGUUUGCAUUAAUGUCCAAAAGCAAAUAAAGAUUACUGGAAAUACAUUUCUUUGUUUAGAAUAACUUCUGGGUAUGACGAUGCAUAGAAUUUUUUUUUUCUUUUUAUUCUUUAAGGUUUAAAAAAAAAGUGUCAGCAUUGCCUAUAGAAGAUGCUGAGAGGAAAAAUGAGCUGGAAGGCACAACUGCAGCCCCAGAUCAACUUUUCACUGAGCUUGAGUGUAUCAGAGGCUGACAUCCGAGGUUCAGGAGGGCUCUGAGCACAAAAAAAGCAGCAAACGUGGGAAGGAUGCUUAACCUUUUGUUGCCAAGGAGCCAGCACCGAUCUGACAGCGUGAGAUGCUGCAAGGAGUAAAGCAGCAACUCAGUGACUUGUGACUAACCAGGCUUUUAUUUGGCAAAGUGGUUUCUCACUGCAUUUUCUGAAAUCCACAGACAAAAGAAACUUACUGAUACAAAGUGGGCCCAGAAAUAUUUUGUGAAGCAUUUCCUUAAGCUUUCAGACUGUUGUUUUCUAAAGUAAAUGACAUUUUGAGGGGAAAAAACAACAACAAAAAAAAAAAAAAAAAAAAAACCAACAUAUGAGAAGAUUUAUAAUAUCCCUUAAUUUUUUUUUAAGUAAAUUCCAAAGGGAAACGGGCAUGUGAACUUCAACGUUAUCCUUUCUAAGACAAACUGAUAACAAGCAGCCUAAUUUGACCUCUAGCCAACCAGGGCCACGUUGGACGUGUCAGAUCACAUUUUCUGGUUCAAUUCAGUAAUACAGUAACAAAGCACGAAACCAGCAGAAAGCAUUUCUGACCCCGUACCUCUCUGACAGCCUUCCCUGGCCGCACUGUCAGGGUGGAAGCAGCCGACCGGGCGGCACAGCAGCUCAGUGGGUGAGAGAAGGCCAGGUGCGCCCAGAAAAACACACUUCCAUUUGGUGAACUGGGGCUGUUCAUGGAUGUGAUUGCUGGUGCCUGUGGAUUUACCAAAAUACACUCCUGAAGCAAUCUGCUGCCUUCCCCUGCCUUAUUUCCAGCUCUGCAGGGGCUGGGCUGGGUGCCUGGCUCGUGUUCUCUGUGCCCUUCUCUCCUGGCUCUGCUGCACCCAGUGACUGCUGCAUCUUCGGGCCGCUCUGUGCUGUGAGCAGCCAUCCACUAGGGGAUAAGCUAAGACCACUGAGAACAGGACAGUGCUCCCUUCGGGAAGGAGCUGAGUGCCAGCCAAACCCUGCAGAAUGGCCAAGUCAGUGGAACCACUCACACAACACCGUGGGCUCACUGCCACCCAGCCUGGCCGACUCCUGAGCUCACUGGCUGGAAAUGAUGUUCCCACACCAGAUGUCACCGUGUCCCUACGCAGCAUCCUUAUAAAGGCUUGUCUAUCCUCACCGUUGAUUUAAUGUCCUCAAAGCUAUCCCAGUACACAGAACUCUGUAUUUCAGUCUCUUAAAAAAGAAUUUGGGAAAUAUCGAGAAGCUGAAGAACUCAAUUUCCUAUUUCUACCUCUCAUGGAAAUCAGAAGCAUCUCAACUGAAAACCCCGCAGCUAAAAAAGCCUGCAAACCCAGAAUAGGCAAAAUAAAAACUGGGCUCUCAAUCUAUAGAUAGAUGCUGUCAUUUGUUCAAGCUAUCGCUUCUGCUACGAGUUCAUGCAAACAGCUGAGUUCGGUUACACCAGGAGGAAGGGUGGGGCUUCCUGCCUCCUCUGAUGCUCGCCUGGCUGUGAAAAUCAAGCAGCUUUCUCAUUAGGGGCACAAACCACAAGACCAGACGCCGGUCUGAUACAAUGUGGAGAAACCCCAGAGAUAGACUGCUUGGGUUCAAAACGUGUCAGACAUCCGAAGAUAAAAAUACAUUAAAAAUGAAAGAGCAGGGCUGGUGGUGAGCACGCAGAAUGCCCCGCUGGCACUUGGGUGGCACAGCCUGAACUCACCAGGGUCUCCCACUGACCCCGUGAGUCUCUGAUGAACAGUUAUCUGGUUGCUCUUUGGAAUGCUUCUCCUGGCCAGCUCUGGACCACCUCAGCUCACGUUUUACCCCAAAGGAACAUGAAAUUGAGGCAAAGUCCUGAAGCAGCAACUAUCCUACAGAGCAGAUGCAGGCCCUACUGCAAUGAACACACCUGCACCAGAGGCCAUAGCAAUUACGAAGGGCCAACCCACCACCAGUUAUCAAUCUAAUGUUUCUUCACUCUUUGGGUAAGCUGGGCAAGACAGGUGGCUUUGUAGAGGACAUGGGCAGAGCACGCACAAAGAAGGGCUUGGGACCCCAAGUUUUGCUGCCGAUGGAGCCUCCCCUAGGAAGCUAACUCUAAUUCUGUUCCAAUUCAAAAGAUAUGUCAAGAAUAAAACCCCAGGCACUAAAAAUAUUCCAGUCAAAAGACCAGAAGGCUUCCCACCUCCCCAUUUUUCACUGCUCUGGUGAAGCACAUGCACCCACUUUGCCCCUCCAGUUGGGGACGUGCAAUCACAGGCAACAAUCACCUUCAGUCCCCCCUCCAGAGUGCGCCUGUCGGGCACAGCACAGAGUGUGAGCCUGCCUGGAGCUGAGCUUCCCCUGAUUCCACAGGGCAGCUCGUACUGCUCUGCUAGCAAGGUGAAUGCAGCUGCCCAGCUGUCAGACAGGGUGUUACAGACACAGGGAGAGAGCCUUAGGAAUGUGUGGAGAUAGAGGAUGUUCAUCUUUAACAAUUAGAAACUGGGUUUUUCUCGCACCAGACUAACUUCAGCAUGUUGUUCUCUGUAUUACACUGAUUUCAGAUAAGAGAUAACUUACUCAUUCUACACAGAAGGUAAUAUUUAGGCAUUUAUCUGCAUCUCUCCAAAGAAAAACCACAGUUACACCCCUCGCUAAAGGGAGCAUCAGCAAACCACUCACACUGGUUUCAGACCCCGACUGCCAUCUGAGCACACAGCCCACCCCCCAAGGCAGGCCUGGCAGCACUGUGCAGGGCCUUGUGGCACUGCUGCAGGCCUCAGCCCCAGCACAACACUGCUGUGCUGUCUGCACACAGCGUGCCCCACUCACGCAGCAGGACCCACUGUGCCCUAGGCAAUUCAGCAUAACCCACUUUUGUCAUCAGAAAUUAAGCUGAGUAUCCCUGGGCUGUUACUCAGGAGCCCAAGGAGAAGUUCCCAGAAAAACCAUCCAUCUCCCCUUCUUGCCGCUUCUUACAGCUUGACGAGCAAUAAAUGCCAAUCUCAGGCCUGACAGUCAAAUGGAAAAAGAGACAAUUCAAUCAUAUGGAACUGAAUGGUACAAAGGUGGAAACAUUUUCAGAGUGGCAGGGGAAGGAAGGAAAACCAAAACAACAUCCUCUGCACCGCAGGACUGUCUUAAGAGAGCACUCCUUCCCUUCAAAAGCUGUGAAACCACCCAGUUUCUUCAACCCAAGUUUCCAAAUCUACAAUCACUGAGUUUUUCACAGCCACUCCUUGAGUCUCUGCAGCAGCUGCUCAACAAAAUGGGUAUUUCCCACUCAAAGUGACCCUGAUCCCCAGGUGCUUGUGCUGGGAAGCAGGGUGCCAUGGAGGCACAGGGAGCGAGGACAAGGACGAGGCAUGAGCACAGUGGCAUGCAUUCCGACAGCGGCAGCAAAGUCCACUGAAAAAAACACUGCUCUGAUUUUCUCUCUUCCUUUUUUCCUUUUAUUUGUUUUGAAGAGACAUCUGAAAAGAUAGCUGAUUAUUUGCUAAGCAAUGUACUUGGGUUUUGGCUCUUGGUUGGAGCAACUGGAAGCCUCUUUUCCACUGGCUAAGAGCUUGUUUUGCCCUUCCAGUGGAAACUAGAAGUUAUGGCUUGAAAAGAAUUCCCUGCCCUGUGGUUUAAAACAAAACAAAAACUUCAGCUCCCACUUCCCCAGCUGAGCUGAGCCAGUAAUGGGGAGCGGUGCAAGGAGGUCGGGACUGAAGAGGAAAAGGGCCCCAAUCCCUGCCCGCUGCUGGCAGCACGCCCUGGGAGCGGAGGAAAGGGGCUGGCGGAGGGCAGCGUGCAGCAGGGCUGUGCCUGCACACAACAAGGCAGCGCUGGCAGCCCCGCGUCCGGCCUCUCUUGUAACUGAGGCCGAGGGGAGCUUUGCCAUCAGAUUCAGCAAGGAAAAUCAAAAUUUCCUCUACAAACAGGUUUGCUUUGCCCAGGCCUUGCUGAAUUGUUUCUGGGGUCAUGGUUCUUGAAAUUAAAAAGCCCUCUGUGGAUGAAAUUUUCUCUUGGUGUUUUCUUUGAAAUGAAACCAGCACCUCUUGCUGUAACUGCACUGAAGUUCCAGCUUCGAGCUCUCUCCAAGGCCUCGGUUCCUGUGCUGCAGAGACACGUCCACUCUGCCCGCCAAGAAUCUCAUUUUAAUUUCAAAUGUUACAUAAAAGGGCAAGCAUUCCCCUUGAGGUUUUCACUAAUACCGGCCCCACCAGGCACUGCUCUCCCUCCAACGCCAGCUGAUGCAUGAUGGACUUUGGCGACCAGACGGUGCCAAACCCCGCAGAGGGCUGCCGGAAAGCACCAAGCUCCUGGCAGCACCUGGGCAGCAGCCAACUCCGGGUGCUCGAUUCGGGUCCCCAGUGCCAUAGGUUUUAUGGCCGUUAGUAGGAUGUGUUAUAUUACACACUGGGUACAAAGACCCAUCCUGCCAGAAUUGAGCGUCCUUGCAGCACAGCUAUGACAAAAUAACCGGCAUCUCCCAGACAGCCCCAAGCACUGGGCAGCGCUUGUUGUACAACAUAUUCUGACAAUUCAGUUGGAAAACCAGGCCACCAGCCCCGUCCCCACCAACCCCGGAUCUGCAGCCCGCCGGGUUGCUCUGCCGCCCUGCAGCAGACGCCUGGCACGUGUGCACACGCAUGUGGCACCGGGGGGACAGGGCCUGCUGCCAGCCCGCGCCAGGGCCGGCCGUCUGACACGUCGUGACAAAUUACUUCCAAGGCUGCAGAGCCAGCGGAGCACAGCAGACGCAGCUCUGCUCGUCUGCACCGCGGUCUAUGCUUCCCUGUGGUUAUUUAUAGGGCCUUUGCUGACAACCUGCUCCGCGUCCCCGCCCUUCUUUCACGUCCCAAAAAGGCAUUCUGUCAGCAGAGCUGGUUUGGUUCUGGUGUCAUUGCAGGAACCAGCAAUACACUAGAAUAAGAACAAUUGGAUUCACCUGGGUCCUUCUGGCUGCACAACAGCAGCAUUGCCCAAAGGCUGCGGUAGUUUAUUUUUCACUUGUGUUUAAUCUGCUGGAGGUUGCUCCAGGAAAGCUUCAGACUUUUGUGUCAGAGGCAGUCUGUGUCCCAUCACAGGACGGAGCACAAGGACACCUCCAGUCAGCUCUAACACUCCUGACGUUCCCCAAGCAUAUGGGUGAAAGUAGACUGUCAAUUCAUUGAUCAUGGAUUAAUAGUUCCAAAUCCUAUUAAGGAUAAGACAAAGUGCAAUGGAAACCCCUAGUCCUGGUGAAAAAACGGUGCAAGGCCCCAUUUAUCUCCUCGGUUCCUGCAGGAACUGCUCCCUGCAGCAUCUGAUGAAGACGACCGCAUUUUUUGACUGAAGGAACGGAGCAGCGACCAUACAGUUAAGGACAGCUCAGGUGCAAAUGGGUUUUAGGUGAGUUAGAUCCUGAACACGCUCAAUAUCAUCAAGAAGGAGGCCUUUUUCUUGGUGCCUUCUCCAUCAAGACAGGCCAUUUCUAUAAAAACACCAUUUCUGAGGACUAUCUUCUCACCACCCGUAUAUAUAGAAAAUAGGAAAAAAUUAAUUCUUUGCUUACAAAAUGUUUUGAAAGCUACAGACAGGCAGAUGCUUCCUUAAGUCCCCGACAACUAACGUGCUCUACAAUUCAAAGGAAUUCACAAGAAGCUCAUCUACUUUAAGUAACAGUUAUUACUUCUGAAACCUCCCCAGAGCUCUGAGGAUAAAGGCAGACAACCAAUUACCGUCUUAGACUUCCAAAGCUGCUUUUGCUGCCUUCAGAAAUAAGCGUCACGCGCUGCGGGCACCAGAUGUGGAGCUGAGGGGUGAGGGGAGAGGGCAGAGAGCAGAGGGCCCCUCAGCUCACCCUGCCCAGCAAACCCACGCUGCGCAUCCUCCUGCCAGAACGGCUUUGCCUGGGAGAACCCUUUCUGUUCCACUGGGUGAGCAGUCUAUACAGACCUGAUUUUAGUUUCCGCACAGUACAGAUAGAGGAGGAGCUGUGUCCUUUAGCAGGGCGCUGGGACGGUCACCGCACCCACCAACCUGGCAGACAGAGCCUUUAGCAAACGGCCUCAUUCAAUACACAACAUAUUGGCAAAAAAAACGCACCCAGCUUUUUAUAAUUCUGAGAGAACUCACCUUCUGACUGCAGAGGAGAGACCUAAAGGGAAAUGCCCCUUGUAUACGUGCAGAUGUUUAGAGGUAGAGUCACAAUGUAUUUCAACAACUUAAUUUUAUAUAACCAAAGGAGGCAGUAAAAGAUAAUCAGAAGGGGAAAAUGGGAGGGGGUCGGGAUGGACAGGAGGUGAAAAUCUGGGGCACCACAAGAAGGCUUUCAGCUCUUGUGUAACGUGACAGAUUUUAAGCCUUUAGGGGGAGAACUGGCUAAGCAAUAUUGCAGUGCAGCGUGACUGCGCAGCCACAUGGGUUGUGUCUGCUACGGCUCUAUUAAUAGGAUGGGAGAUUAGAGAGGUCUGACUGCGUACGGCCUCUAUCUACCAAUGCAAUUCCUGCUUGGUCUCCGCUCCCUCAGUGCCACUGAGGCUGGCUGGGAUGCCAGAAUGGGUCUGCACCCCAAGGUGCCCACCAGCCCGGGCUGCCCAGGGCAUCUGCUGACCCCAGGCCAUCCUCCGGAUCUGCCAAAGCACCCAACCUCUCCUUUACAUCUAUUUAAACUUAACAGGCUUUAAGCACAAUUUUAAGCGCUUCUAAGUGCCUUGCAGAAUUAGGACUUGGUUGGUGCACAUACAGUGAGUUCUGUUGUCGUGCCCAGAUAAUGAAUACGAACACCCACCGGGACAACCAGCACUGUUUUUCCCCCUUACUUCUCACUUCUGUGUUACAGUGUGAGUUCUAUUCCACAUCCUUCUGUGUGUGUGUAAUGUGUCUGACCCCUAUAAAGACGGUCAAAUAAAUAUCUGGUGACCUCACAAGUAUGAAAAUAAGCUUAUUUGAAACAAAAAGUAUAUCUUCAGGGGGUUUGGCAGUAACUUUCAAUUAUUUUUAAUUGCCUGGAAAAUUAAAGUAAGAAAAUAGCGUGGUAUAAAUGUUAGGGAACAUUAUUAAGCAGUUUUCAUAAUAUCUUAGCUGUAGCUUAAUGGACAAAAACGGUUUUUUAAGCCUUGGUCAUCUGUUCAAUAUGAAUGGACUGUCUGUUCCCAUACCUCCUCAAGGGGCAACUGAACUGAAAUAUCUCGUGAUAGAAACCAGACUCAGUUUGACCUGGUAGGCAAGGAGAACUCCACAGAACCUCCACAAUUAGGGUUUAAUUACAAACCACCAUGGAGUCUGGCCUGCAGCCUGAGACCAGAAACACGAGGAAAGGAGUUCAGAGAAGGUUUGGAGCCACGAGCACUGACCUCCCCUCCCCCAUUUCCCUUUUUUCCUUUCCUUGCACCAUGGGAUGGGCUUUUCUCCUCUUAUCACCAACACAACUGACAUGCGAACUGCAAAGUAAGCAAGAUUUCCAAGGCAACAGUCUAAGCCUGCCUUUCUUCCUUCUUGGGGAAUUGUGCCAUCACCAGUCUCUGACAUUCCAUCAAACACAUCACGGGAAUCGACACAAAUGAAAUUCAGCCCUGGGACGGUGAUGGCUUCAAAGGCUCUGAUAUUGUUUUCUGUUUUUGUUGGAAACUUUCAAGUCUCAGUCCCAGUUGUGAGCUGCAGUUUACUGAUGAAGCCUAUAAUGCAGAGAAUGAAAAGCCACCACAAGCAGCCUACCCAAAAAGCAGCAAAACUUUAUAUAAGCCACCAUUUGUGGCCUUUCAUAUUCUGGGGAAGAGUAGAACCGUGCUACGUUUGUGGUGAAGUAGUGGUAUAAAUUAGCAAUAAACGCCUGACCCUAAAGCCUUAGGUCACUGCAAAUCCCAAAUUAGGCCCUCACUUCUCCAAAGCAAACACAGCACCAUCCCUGGGGCAGGAGGACCGUCAGAGCUGGGUGAUGGGAACACAGCCGCUCGGACACACACCCAGCGGGCACACGGGGUCUGUGCUCAACCCUGUUCUCACACAGCUGGUGUGCAAUGACCUUAUCUGAGAGAACUUCAGGGAAAGAGAUGUGUGCAGCCACCUGGAGCAGGGAUGGGCCAUCUUCUAAUGGCCGAGGCUGAAACAGGGGAGGGUCAGGCACAGAAGGGAUCCCGAUAACACAGGGCUGCAUCCUGCGUGGGAAACCAAAUGCAAGGAUGGUACAAAACCACCAGUUGUUUUCAGAAGGACAAAUUUAGGCAACGAUCCCUGCGCUGCUGGUCUCUGCAGUGCUGCUGAAUGUUCCUGGAUGACUCAACAUGCAUGCACACCACAUGCUAGACUGUGGCACCCACUGAGCUACCUGCACUUGCUGCAUGCACAGUUACUGUUCCUACAGAGAGACAAGGAUGACGACUGUGAAAAACAAAGCAAGACAAAACAAAGGAAACGAGUCUAUAAAAGACUAUCUGUUGUGUAAUGUUCUUGAAUCUGAUUCCAUGCAACAUGGUAAUGGAAAUGCAAGCAAACAAUAUAUCCCAGCAUUGUGCCAGCACAACCAGUCACACACAAGACACUAAACUACAUAUUACCAACUCUACCACCAAAUCUUUAACCUAUCUCAUCGUAAGGACACCUCUGUUCGAUUUUUCUCAGAUGAGACCUAAACAAAACAGGUUAACUUGAAGGUUUAAUGGAAUAUGCCUACAACAGUCGAAGCCCAAGACCUGCAUUGGAAGCAGAGCAACGCAGUAUUACAAAGGUCACGACCCAGCAGGGCAAGGCUCUGGCUGGGAAUUACUAGCUCAAGGGCAAAAGCAGGCCUGAGAAGGUGACACACCAUGCAGACAAUGAGCAACAGUGUACAAAAAAGGUCUGGCGGAUACGUUUUGCCUUCCCAUGUCCUCUCAAGGAACAAAGUAACAGCCUGCUGGUAUAAACGCACCAUCCUGCCUACUGUAAGUUCAGCUUGGAAAGUGCAGAUCAGCCUGGUAAGUCCGUUCUCUACAAGGCCAAGUUUAGUCAACUUCCAUACGAAAAAGGCUGAGCCAUUACUGUACAGAAACAAGGAACACGGUGCUAGCACAAUGGAGAUAAAGCAGCAAAUUUCAGAAAGAGGGAAGGAAAGUUAUUUAAAAUACAGAACAGAAUCCCAAACCUUUAUUAAAGAAUACAGAUUAAUUCUGUGGGAGAGAAGUUUAUCAUUCGCACUGCUGCUGCUGCUGAAGUGGGAGGAAGGAACUGCGGGAAGCCAGGCAAAUAAUGUCUGGCUCAGCUGUUAGGGUAGCAGCUGUCCUGAAAUCCUCAUUGGAGGGAACAAGCCAGGAGGUCAGGGAAGUCAUGAUUAUUUGGAAAGAAGGAGGAAAACAAUAGGUUGGGGCCCUCUGUCUUCUUGCCUUUCUCGUGUCUUUUGUUAGCUGUUGACUUCCCAGGAUAGCUGGCUCGCUGUGCUCCAGGCAGAGCUGGGUCUGGCCUUGUACCUGCCUUUUCUCUCCACAACUUCCUCAAUUUAAAAAAAAAAAAAAUAAGACCCCCCAGCUCUCUGUGCAGCCAGGUGUCACCGUGAGGCUUGGAGGCUCCAAAUGCUUCAGCAAUCAUCAGCAAAACUCGGCUCAAGAUGGGGCCAAGUCCCUUGAAAGUCUUAAUUUUCACUCUAGCCUGAAAAUGCUUUCUGGUUUUAAAGGAUUUUUUGUCUCAUCUCUCUCCCACCCACCUCCCCCUUUAUGUCUCCUCCAUGCAGUUCUACUACCGAUCCACAGAUUAAGGAUUUUUGUUGGGUACCAUCACAGUUGUUAGUAGGAUACUUCUUGUGUUUUAACACUGGCAAAGAGACCCACGCACAGACUUGAAUAACGUCUUGAAAGAAGAUGGAGAAUUUAAUAAGAGGGCAGAUGGAUUGAAAGAAGAUUAAAAAUCCAUUUGAUCCCCAACUCCCAGGGAUGCACCUCCUCCCUUUCCAUCCUACACACACCUGAUUCCUGACCCCAUAUUAAAAGGCAGAAGGCACAAGAAUAAAAACCUAACAAAAUCCAGGUUACGUUUUAUGCUCGGGACAGGUUUAAUCUGUUUGUGCAGGAGAUGAAGCCACAGUACAGUUACAUGAUUCCAUUUGGAUAUCCACCAUCAAUAGACUUGAAAUAUCCUGUUGCAAAGCAGUGCUAUGUGAUUUACAACAUCACCAUGCUAUUUGUGAGAGCUAAAGCUUUUAUUUUUUCUAAUGGUAUUUGGCUUGGCUUGUUUUUUUGACCUGCUGCUGCUCCCAGGUUCAACAGGAGACAUGUUUCUGUAAGCUGAUUUCUCUGUGGCUGAGGGUUUAAUCAGGUCAAAGUAGCGAUUAAAACCCGCACUAUAACCACAACCUUAAAGGGAUAGCUGUAAGGUUAAGCCUUCCCCCACUCCCCAUCAAAAUCAGAUGUGAUGCUGCAUCUGUCCCUGGCAAACAGAAACACCUUGCAAUUUGCUGCCUUCUGGGUUGCCUUUCCUUUGAACAAAGCGUAAAACUAUGGGUAUGUACUCAGAGAUCAAAAUAUGCAAAUGGAUUAAGGGCUGCACUUAAUGUGAAUGCAUUAACGCUGUCAAGACAUCCCUGAAGGUGGGCUUUCUGACACCCACUCUACUCCAACACACACACUGCAGGCUUCCAGCACAGCUACCUCAGCCCCGUCAGUGCUCCCGACAUUCUUUCCUCCAGUUUUCCACUUGCUAUGUUGUAGGUCUGCGGUUCUUCUCAUCCAUCCAAAGACAGCACGACAGCAUGUUUAGCAUGGUGAGAAACGGAGUAAGAAAUGUAAAUGGAGCAGCGUUUCCACAGCCCUGCGCAGCGGUCACAAACAUUAAGGCCAAAACCACUUUUCUAAUCACAACUAAUUUCAGAAAUCAGACCUUACUUUCAAGCAGCUUCAAUCGUGGCCUGUAUGAAGAGCCAACGAGCUGUGCCACCAAGCACACAAGCCCUGCUCCCGUCUUCACUCUGCUCAACAAAAGCAGGCCAAGUGACUCGCGCCAGGGAACCCAGAGCUCAGGAGGCAGGCUGCUAGAUGCUGGCUCCUAGUCCUGUGUUCUAACCAUCAGAAAUCACUGGCAGCACUGAUGGGUAUUCUUUUCAGAGAUAGAGAGCAACAGCAGCUUCUGAUGUUCAUGGAAGACCUGCACCAAACGUACAAAGGAUGUUCUGAAAAGCAUCCCUGGAAGGAAGGCAGCAUUCAGGUGGUGAGCCUGCUGGUUCUGCCCUCUCCUCGCUCCUGUCACUGCAGCACCUUCCAGAUACCAGCUCCUUCCCAGUAUGUGGGAUAGCAUCUUCUUCCAAGCUAUUCUUGACGCUGUACUCCCACUCCCUUUCUAUGUUUUUAACCAUUUUAAGGCUGAUUUGGGUCACGACUAACAUGAUUAGAUACUAAAAUCAUGUGCUGCUAGCAAUACUGCUGUGGAGCUGCCAGGACCCACGUGGAAUGCAAGUGGUGGAGCCUUAAGAUGGGUGGGAAAGCAUUCACAUUAACAUUUUCUUUCUCCCCUUCUUAAUAUGAAAGCUGGGCAAAAAUCCCACAAGAAGAGAAAUCUCAACUUUACUCUUUCUGUAGCCCAUUUCUAGCUGUUGUGAACUACGUGCUCUUCUCACGGAUAAAAUAAAACAGAAGGAAGAGAAACCACUCCCUACUUCUGAUGGCUGCAGAAUGAUCUGUUUAUCUGCUUUAGGGCAAGAAGAGCUCUCUAAUAGUUACAAAGGCCAGGAUUAUUGUGCUCUAUUCCUGGCUCUGCUACUGAUGCUAUUUGAAUAUCUUCAGGUAAAUCAAGGAACGCAAGUGUUUCAUUAAACCACAUCAGUGUAAGUAGUAUCAGAACCUCUACAAACUGGCCUCUGCUUAAAAGCACAAUGCUUAAGCAUCUUUCCUCCAAGACCUCAUCUCUCAGCUGGCCAAGAUCUGCUAACGUCCCAGGCACCACCUGCGUGCCUCACACACAUCACAUUCCUUUUCUGUAGCACUUCCAACUCAUUGUUGCCAAUAUGUGCUACCUGUAAAUGCCUGAAACAGCGUGGAAAGUGCAGAUCACAAACUCAGCUAUCCUAGCAAGAAAGUGGCAAGUCACACAGUUCUGAAGGCUUUUACCACCCUGACUGCAUGCGUGCAUCGCUGUACCUGCUACAGCUGUGCCUUCAGCCACCCUGCAGCUCCGUUACCGCAGCCCCGCAAGGUCGCAGCCCAGCAGGGCUGUCUGGCACGAGGCUGUCAUGCAGCUGCACCACACGCACCCCUCCCUCCUCUGCUCCUUCCCUAGAAGGGACUCUACAAAUUCAUCUCUGGGAGAGAAAGGGAAUGCCAGCACGCUCUGUAAAGUCACAGUGCUUCCAGUGCAGUGCUGAGGCUGCAGUUUUCCUGUCCUCUACUUCCACUUUCUCUCACGUCAGAUCACAUUAAAGUAACAAUCAAUUUUUCUGUCUGGCUCAUUCCCGCGCCGUACAAGCACCACCUCUCCCCCCCCAGCCUUCAGAGGCAGGGAAGCCUGGCUGAGAGCCCAACAUUCAUCAAUAAGCCAGCUCCAUGGCUGGUGGAACAACCUGGCAGCAGCGCGUCUUCUUUCUUCUUUUUAUUGGCUUAUAAUCAAGCCUCACACCUGCUAAGCAUGAUUACUACAAAGAUUAAAAUUUGCAGAGGUGCAAAAUAAAAAUAGCAGACACAUAACCCGGGCAAGGACAAGGCUGUCCAAGGUUUAACCUGACAGACCGAGCACAAUUAACCCCUUCUUACGGUCCCAGCAUCAUGCUUAGUUUUAAGUAAAAGCAUUUCAAAUGGUUGAGGAGGCACCGUGCAGCACUGCCCAUCGAGUUCUGUAGCUGCAGCCCAUUACAAUGACAGCAGUGUACUGACGACUCUGAUGCUCAUUAGAAGCUAAGGGCAAAAUCCUGUGCUCACAUCUCCAGGCACACAGAGAUGAAUCCGAGCCUCCUCACUCUGCAGAACAUCGCUCUCAUUGCCCUUUUUCCUUUACCAGGGGCACACCAGCUUCACAGGCAGAAACGUUUCAGCAAUAUUUUGUAAAGAAAAUAAAAACAAAACACAACACAUCGAGAUUUUCACUGCUACCACUGCACUGCCAAAAAUACAUUUACUGGUUGAGGAGAAGCAGCAAUCAUCUUCAGCUUGGGCUUUUCCCUCAGGAUAACAAGUGCCCUUCCCCUGGCCUCACUCUUCCCCACUGCCCACAGCCCCGAAGCGCAGCAGUGCUGGCAGCCUCGAGGCAGCUGACAGCCAGCCCUGAAAAGGAUUGCUGGGCUCAGCAGGACGCAGGGUUUGGACCAGAGGAGAGGCACCAGACCGCCGCUCCACAAGCUGCAGGCCCCCUGCCCCAAGACAAAGCUCCGGCAGCACAAGUGCCAAGCAGAGCAGCCCCUGGUGCCCACCCAGGCUCAGCCUUCCUCCUAAAGGGCCGGCGCUGGACCCAGGGCCGCUGUCCCCAAACCUUGCUGGUGACCGACACUGAAUGCAGGUGUCUGUGGAAAUAAAGAGCACGCACCAGGUCUCCUGGGAGGAGGGCCUGUGAGGAGGAGGGGAAUUAUUGUGGUUUAGAAAAGGGUAGGGGCUGGUAGAGAGAAAUGCUAUAAAAGCACCAUGACGACAGAGGAGGGUGAUGGAAAGGUCAGCCUCUUUCAAUAAUGCUCCUUUUUUUCCUUGUCCAAAUGAAACACUUGGCCACGUCCAUCGGCAGAGUUCAGCCGGAGGUAAAUGGCCAGACCUGGGGCCAUAAAGCGUCUGGGGACGCUGGGAUGCGCUGCCCUGCGCGGGGGGGUCACCGGCAGCCCUCUGCCCUGCGCCCACAAAGGCGACCACCGCAGCAAAGGGCUCCGAAACUGCUCUGAACAAAAGGUGCUGCUGUGUGUGUUGCAGGCAGAGCUGGACUGCGGCUCCUAUUUACCUCUGACAAACACCUCCUGAUGCCCAGAGCCUAUCACGAAGGGUUGCGGGAGGGAAAAAGAAGGUAUUUUCAAUAAUGAAACAGUGAUUAAUCCUGAUAGGCAUGCAGCCCUUAGAGCUACUUUUCAGCUGCUAGUGGUAGGUGGUCAAAUUAUACCUUUCCAUCACAUUUCCCUCUAUUGCACAUCUCCUCGGUACAUUUUCUCAUGAAACGCUGUAAGGAUUCAGAACAAUUAAACCUAACCACUGAGUAAUUCCCACUCCUUUUUUCCCUCUAAUAUGAAAUCACUCUUUCUAGCGUGGUACCGAAGCGCUUUAGGAAAAUAGAUGUGAGCUGUGGAGUUGCAGCUCUGUAUUCACGCACAAAAAUGGUGCAUUACAACCAGAGAUGCGAUACAAAGAUUUACUGUUCCGUGGCAGGGGGUGCCACGGCCAGCUGAAGCGUUACUUCAUGUUUUCUGCUGUGUGUGACAAGUGGAAAAGCUUCCGGGAGAAAAAAAUUACGACUGUGUAGCAAAUGUUUUAAAAAUUACACAAACAAGGCAUUUCCUGCCUACCACAAUCCUCAGGGCUGAGAGUUUUGUUACCGACAACGGAGCCUUCAAACUGAUCUGCUAAGAGCGCAGGAGUGCCGGCACACCAGCAGUACAGCAGGAGCUGUUGAGCCCCAACGCGCUCUGGGCAGCUUUCCAUCCAGCGAUGGGUUCCUUCACCACCAGAGGAUCCGUGUGCUCCAUGGGAGCAGCUGCUGCUCACCCCGCAGCCCUGCAGCAUCGAGUCAGGCACCCAACGCAGGGCGGCUCACAGCAGAAACACUCCUGCUGGGGGAGAUGGGGUUUGUUUGCUUUAGAAAAGGAGAGGGGGUGGAACAGUGUGAUCAUUUCUCACUUCUACUGAUUAAGUUGCUUUCUAUUCUAUUUAUCACUUGUUUUUUAAUGCGGCUCCCUUCACACGCUCCUUUGGAAUAAUAAAAUGGAGUAGUUCCUUCCCACCCAAGUCAGAUUCUAAUAAGCACAACCUGUAAAUAAACAGAGAAUUAAAAGUCCAUCUUUUUUCUCAAAUGGUAACCCUUCAGCUUCUCCAUGGCAAGUUCUCUACCACACUUAUCCUUGGCACUAUCAGCCCUCUGGUCACCUACAAGCAUGCAGAGGCCCAGCCAGCUGUGCAAGGGGCAAUAAAGGGACGCCUGGUUCCCUGCUGCCUUAAGGAUCAAUGACACAAAACGACUCUGCUUUUCCAUUCCUCCAAGAAUGAGAGGAAACACUACACAUAAAAAUGAAAUGGGGUGUGGUGGUUAUUCCGCCUGUAAAGCUUAUUCACUAGGAACCUGAGUAAACCAAAAAGGAAUGUUCUGUAAGAAUAUGAGGGCUGCAUGGCUGUGCUUACCGUUUACAAACUGUUCUUAAGCUCUUCUGAGUUUUUCUAUUAAAAAGGCUUUGCAAAGUGUCUGGGAGGUUUCCCUCCCUUUAUGCUUUGUGUGCCAUCAGUGAGUGCAUUUGCAUGCAUGUUUUUCAUGAGUACAAACAUUACAAUUUCGUAACACACAACUGCUGCAGGAGGAGUAGGCUCUAAAAGUA